rnacentral:lncRNA from 1 species
GCAGUUUACUCUGGGCACGCUUUUCAUCCAAAGUGAAAAUGCUGUCCCCUAUCCCAAACAGGUUUUAAUAUAGGGAAUUUGAAAAUAUUUAUAAUUUUACUUUCAAUACUUAAGUAUCAAAAGUAAAUGUAAUUGCUAAAAUAUACUUAAGAAUUUAAAGUAAAUGUAAUUGCUAAAAUAUUAAAACCAAAUACUUUUAGACUUUUACUCAAGUAGUAUUUUACUAGGUAACUUUCACUUUUACUUGAACAAUUUUCUAUUAAGGUAACUUAACUUUUACUCAAGUAUGACAAUUGGGUACUUUUUCCACCACUGUACAUAUAUAUAAUAUAUUAUAAUUAUAUAUAUAUAUAUAUAUAUAUAUAUAUAUAUAUAUAUAUAUAACUUUCAUUUUUCUUUAUUUUUAAGAGAAAUGCCAUGGCGUUCGUGGUGCAAUAUAUGACUCGCAAUCUGCAACCAAUACAUGUUAGCUGCGACAUUGUUUUCAAAGUAUAUCAAUGGUCGUGAAAAUGACGAACAUGGCAACUCUACUAUGAGUUGUAUUUCCGUCAUGGCGCAGACCAUAUUAAGAAAUCGCAAGAUAUCAUUCCAUGUCACCCCACCACCGCCUACCAAAGGGCUCUUGGGCUCAAUUCUUCACGGCUGACGCCACAUACCUGAACUAUAUCGCCGUUUCGGUUAGUUAAAAUGAUUAUUCCGACAAUUUCUGGUUCUGACAUUUUGUGGAAACUGAACUGCGCUUACAUCCUAGUGGGGUGUCUGCUGCCUGUUGUAGACACUCACAUUAACUGUAAGGUGAUCCAACAUCCUAACUAUACAACGACCUAUGACCUCCAUGAACUACCUGAAUCUCUGCCUUUGGACAAUUGCGAGACCCAGUGGUUGGAUGAAAACAUGACUGUUCUUGCCAAUGACAAAGAGAUGAAAACCGAAAACCGUACUUUGGCUCAGACCAGUCACUCCAUCACUAUCUUAGGCUGCCUGGACAGACUGACCUACUCAAUGGACUGCACGCUGACUGUGGCACCAUUUUGGGAGGUGCUGUGCCUCACUAACUGCAGUCAUGGACCUUACAAACCUGCCACCAAUCUCCACAGUAAUGACCAUGUCCCCAUCAAUCAAGGUUAGAGUAAUACAGUUUCACCUUUUCAAUCUGACACUCUAAUCUGACACUGCUUGUUUUACUGUAGCCAAACCAGAUACUCAAACCAGAUACUCAACUAGUCUAAAGGCCUAAAGGCCAGUUUUAUUACUUCUUUAAUCAGACAACAGUUUUCAGCUGUGCUAACAUAAUUGCAAAAGGGUUUUCUAAUGAUCAAUUAGCCUUUUAAAAUGAUAACCUUGGAUUAGCUAACACAACGUGCUAUUGGAACACAGGAGUGAUGGUUGCUGAUAAUGUAGAUAUUCCAUAACAAAUCAGCCGUUUCCAGCUACAAUAGUCAUUUACAACAUUAACAAUGUCUACACUGUAUUUGUGAUGAAUUUGAUGUUAUUUUAAUGGAAAAAAAACAUUUGCUUUUCUUUAAGAAACAAGAACAUUAGUAAGUGACCCCAGACUUUUGAAUGGUAGUGUUUCUGUUGUAGAAUUAGACUACUGUCAAGUCUACUCCUGCUCCUCCCCUCUGGUGUUCGACAUCGCCGGUAUACUAACCACCUGUCCUGGGAUCCAUCAUUACGCACACCUGGGAUCCAUCAUUACGCACACCUGGGAUCCAUCAUUACGCACACCUGGGAUCCAUCAUUACGCACACCUGGCAACCAUCAUUAUGCGCACCUGCAGAUCAUCAUGAUACUCACCUGGACUCCAUUACAUCCAUUCCAUUCUCUCUUUUGAAAUCACCGUUUUGUGUAACACGUGUCAUAUUGUGUUGGCCCGCUAGGGACCUGUUUCAUUGUACUUAGUUCUAAUCAAUGGUCUAGACUCUGUUUGUGUAUCUUAUAUCAUUUUAGCUUGUUAUUAAAUAAAUAAUCAAUUCAAUGGUAUAGUGAGACUCGGGUUUGUGCAGAUUCCCAGAUUAUGUGACUAUCAGAAUGAGACUGUAGAGGAAAUUGAUUAAUUAGUGACUGUUGUAAAAUCUAUAUUCUUUGAGUUUAUUUGGGAAAUUGAAACUCAAAGCCAAAACUUUCCCCAAGGUUAAUGAGUUAAUAAUUACCUGAUUCAUUUAAUCACGUAAUUAUAAACAGUUAAUAAUUCGAUGAACAGCAGUCGUCACAUCAAUGCAACGUUACAACACUGUUUUCACCUCCUAUUCCAUUUUCCCAUUAGUCUCCAGGAUACCUGUAAAGUAUGUUUUGUGUGUAAAGUCCCAAGCCUUGCUGAAACUUCAGAACUCAUCUGUAGAGUACUGGGGGCCAUUGUCUGAGUAAAGGAUGUCAGCUAUCCCAUAGCGCGCAAAUUGUGUCUUCGGUUUUCUAAUGACCGUUUGACUGUGUUCUCAAUGGUUCACUUCCCAGAAGUUGGAGAGAUAAUCUACUGUGACCAUGUAGUCUCUGUAGUUGAACUGGAACAGGUCAGUCCCGUAUUUUUCCCAGGGAUGCUUUGGUGCUUCGUGUGGCCUCAGCAUCUCUUCCUGCUGCAUCACAUCCCAUGCAGUGCAGGUGCUACAUUGUGCCAUGUAUGUUCUCAGCUGUGCGUUCAUGCCUGGCCAGUAGACACAUUCACAAGCUCUUCUCUGUUCCUAUCUGUGAGCAAUGGAUUCUCUGCAUUAUCUCUGACCUCAGGGCAGUAGGCACAAUGCCUCGCUCACCUCUGAAGAUAACUCCAUUUUGCACACUCAGCUCAUCUCUGUUGUGAAAAUACAUGGCUACUUCCAAGGGUACAUGUUUUUUCACUUCAGGCCACCCCUGCAGGAUCACAUUUUUCAGUGUCUGCAGCUCCCGGUCCACCUCAGUGGCUCUCUGGGUGGCCUUUACUCUCAACACAGGGAAGUAGUGUAUUAUAUUGAUUGAUUCCACUUCCAAAUUCAAUCACGAAGCAAUAGAAUGAGUCUUAUAGAAAUAUAUUAAAUUAUAUAAACUCCAAGUAGCCAGAAAAUAAUUAAUUAAAUAGAAACCCCUCCCAGCAAUGUACAAUUUACCAUACAGACAGUGUAGCGCUUCUCAUUAUUUUUCUGUGACAAAGUCUAUGGGAACAGCUGUCAUCAAGGCCAAGGGUGGCUACUUUGAAGAAUCUCAUAUAAAAUAUAUUUUGAUUUAACACUUUUUUUUGGUUUCUACAUGAUUCCAUGUGUUAUUUUAUAGUUUUGAUGUCUUUACUAUUAUUCUACAAUUUAUAACAUAGUAAAAAUAAAGAAACUUUUGACUGGUACUGUAGUCACAAACUCUUCUUCUCAACACAUCAAUAGAACAUCAACCUUGAAUCCCAUCAUCCAUCUUCUCAGUUCAACUUCAACAGACGUUCUUGAAUGAACACUCCUACCCUGAGUUUCAGUGUUCGGUUCUAAAUGAACCUAUUAAAACUCACGGACACUUAAAGCUCAAACCUAGUAGCUACUAAAAACAAUUGGAUACCAUGAAAUUGGGGAGAAGGGGUAAAAAAUUUAAAAUUAUAGACUGAUCAUUUCUUUGUCAGUGGGCAAAACAUACAAAAUCAGCAGGGGAUCAAGUACUUUUUCCCCCUCACUGUAUAUACUACCACUGGUGGAAAUAUGUAGUUUGUCUUAUGACCCAAUGGGGGAAGCUACUAUCUUAUGACCCCUUUGGGUCAUAAGACAAAAUACAUAUUAUACCCCUCUGCAAAACAUGACUUAGUACUUGGUGGCAAAACUCUUGUUGGCAAUCACAGAGGUCAGACGUUUCUUGUAGUUGGCCACCAGGUUUGCACACAUCUCAGGAGGGAUUUUGUCUCACUCCUCUUUGCAGAUCUUCUCCAAGUCAUUAAGUUUGAGGCUGACGUUUGGCAACUCGAACCUUCAGCUCCCUCCACAGAUUUUCUAUGGGAUUAAGGUCUGGAGACUGGCUAGGCCACUCCAGGACCUUAAUGUGCUUCUUCUUGAGCCACUCCUUUGUUGCCUUGGCUGUGUGUUUUGGGUCAUUGUCAUGCCGGAAUACCCAUCCACGACCCAUUUUCAAUGCCCUGGCUUAGGGAAGGAGGUUCUCACCCAAGAUUUGACGGUACAUGGCCCCGUCCAUCGUCCCUUUGAUGCGGUGAAGUUGUCCUGUCCCCUUAGCAGAAAAACACCCCCAAAGCAUAAUGUUUCCACCUCCAUGUUUGACGAUGGGGAUGGGCAGCAUUCCUUCUCCUCCAAACACGGCGAGUUGAGUUGAUGCCAAAGAGCUCCAUUUUGGUCUCAUCUGACCAUAACGCUUUCACCCAGUUGUCCUCUGAAUCAUUCAGAUGUUCAUUGGCAAACUUCAGACGAGCAUGUAUAUGUGCUUUCUUGAGCAGGGGACCUUGCGGGCGCUGCAGGAUUUCAGUCCUUCAUGGCAUAAUGUGUUACCAAUUAUUUUCUUGGUGACUAUGGUCCCACCUGCCUUCAGAUCAUUGACAAGAUCCUCCCGUGUAGUUCUGGGUUGAUCCUCACCGUUCUCAUGAUCAUUGCAACUCAACGAGGUGAGAUCUUGCAUGGAGCCCCAGGCCGAGGGAGAUUGACAGUUCUUUUGUGUUUCUUCCGUUUGCGUAUAAUCGCACCAACUGUUGUCACCUUCUCACCAAGCUGCUUGGCGAUGGCCUUGUAGCCCAUUCCAGCCUUGUGUAGGUCUACAAUCUUGUCCCUGACAUCCUUGGAGAGCUCUUUGGUCUUGGCCAUGGUGGAGAGUUUGGAAUCUGAUUGAUUGCUUCUGUGGACAGGUGUCUUUUGUACAGGUAACAAAAUGAGAUUAGGAGCACUCCCUUUAAGAGUGUGCUCCUAAUCUCAGCUCGUUACCCGUAUAAAAGACACCUGAAAGCCAGAAAUCUUUCUGAUUGAGAGGAGGUCAAACACUUAUUUCCCUCAUUAAAAUGCAAAUCAAUUUAUAACAUUUUUGACAUGUGUUUUUCUGGAUUUUUUUGUUGUUAUUCUGUCUCUCACUGUUCAAAUAAACCUACCAUUAAAAUUAUAGACUGAUCAUUUAUUUGAUCAAAUACUUUUU